GUUUAAGAGGGCCAGAUGUUUUAAUAGCAAGAUGUAUGAUGUUACAGUAUCAACUAUGUGCUUCAACAAACUUGUAAUAUUGACUAGACAACGUUGUUACACAAUCCUGUGACACUAAACUAGCACACACACACACACACACAAAGGAAUGUGCUUUAAAACACAUUGAAACAAAGUUAGCUUAUAAUAGACAUUAUAUAUACAUACAUAAAAUAAUCCAGAACACGGUAUUGAUUACUGCAAGAAGUUCAUGACUGUAAUAUAAUUAAUUUGCCUAUUUUUAAAUGCGUGAUAAAAUUACAUUAUGUAAAUUUUAAAUGCUCAAUUAAAUUAAAUUUUUACUCUUUAUAUAUUUCAAAAUAAUUUGUAUAAUUACAAUGCUGCACAUAGUCACAUAUCUCAUACGAUGCCACUAUUCAACUGAAUCACAAAUGCUAUUAUUUUAAUUUCUUUGAAAGCUAAAAAAAAUCUUAAUGCAUAUAAUAGUGAUCAAAUUUAGCAAAUUUAUUGUAUGAAUGAAUUAUUUCAGGAAGCUACUAGAAGCUAUAGGAAUGUACAAAAUAGCAUGUAUCCAUGAAGUAUGAUAUCAAACAGCACAGAGUACAUCAAAGCAAUAAAUAAUAACUAGAGAUACUGGCACCUUAUGCUUGAACAAGAGGCUUACAAACAGUUUAAUGCUGAUAGGGAGGGAGGGAGAGAGAGAAAGAGAAAGAAAUAGUAGGAAAGAG